AUCACAGUCCAGUUCAUAAAAAUGAACACGUAGGUUCUACCCAAAGGAGUUUACAGUCAGAUCAGACUCAGGCAGCAAAUUUUAUUCUGCCUGUUUUCCAACACACCUGUAAGCUCCAGUACUGUCUUGUGACAAAUCAUAUCCUACUUUAACGUAAUAUGAAAUGCAAAGAAAAGUAUCUGAUGAUUUUUUGCAGUUGCUUGUGAUUCCCUUGUUAUCCUUCGAGAAUUUCAAAGGAAGUGGCAAUUUAAAAAAUGAGAAGUUGAGAAAAAGGAAAGAAGAAGAUGCAGUGAAGUGGCUGCACAACAGUGUAACUGGGGAUGAGGUGCAAAAAGGUAUCAGAGCUCCAGUUCCUGGAAUUCCAGCGUGACUUGAGUAAUUCAGAUUGUAUUGCAAGAAAAAGUUAGUUCUGGCAUUCCCUUGCAGAGAGUGAUUUGAAAACCUGACUCACAACCGUCCUGCAGUCUCAGAAACAAGGCGGCAGCUCCCGUCUAAAUCUACAGACAGCACUUCAUGUAUGAAUCAUUUCUUGGUGACUUGCAAAACUCUUCUGAGAUGAGAAUCAGGAACACUGCUUUAGGGAGGAAAUGGAGAUGUACAGUCAGUGUGCACAGAAGACAUGGCAAGUAGGCUCCAAAGACAGAGUAGACUUAAAAGACACCCUCCACACUAGAAUUGCCCCGGGACUCUGCUGAAGAAAAGAAGCUCUUGAGCAACUUGCAGAAUCGCCUCUUCCAUUGUUUCUGAAGAAUUCUUUUCACUGCAUUCCUCGGGUUGUCAUGAAUUGCACAACCAGCUCUUCCAGCUCGAGCAGAGCUGAACCUGAGAUCUGUAUCUUCCGACAGAACAGUCAUUAGGUUGUUACUGUGCACACGUACAUGCGUGCUAAACGAUCCUUAAAGAUCCUUAGAGUUAAGAAAACUUGAAAGUCUUGAAAGUAAGAUGAAGUAGGAACACGCCAACCCACCUUGCCUGUUUACUAUGAGGCAGUCUUUAAUUCCAUACUAAUUUUAUGAUUUCAUUUCAUUUCAUUUCAUUUCAUUUCAUUUCAUUUCUCUAAUGUAUUUUGAAUCCAGUCGUAAGAAUACAGUGAAAGCAUGAGCUAUAUGUAAUGUGAAAUAUUUGUUUUCACUAGCCCCCUUCAGCUGCUUAGUGGAGCAUGCUAAGGUCUGGAGCUUUUUGGGAUCAUUGCCAUUAAACUAAGUAGCAAUGACUUUUAAUUCAAUAAACCAGUUUUUUAUUCAGCAACUUUUAAACCUGCCAGGUUCUCGUGAAAAAUGCUGAAUGAGAGGUUCCAACAGUCGUUCCAAACAUGUAGGUCAAUUGGGGGAAAAAUUAAUUUUCUUGUUCUAAAAAUCAGGCUUGAAUGCAACGAUUUGUGUAUUUCUUGCAUGACAUGGUCUAGUUAGUUUUCCAGUUAUAUGAUGAGGGAUAAAGAAGGAGUGAAUAAUAGGAAAGUAGAGCCAACUAAAUGUCCUCCACACAACUAGUAUGUAACAUUCCUUUGCUAAAAAAAGUUAGCAUUAUAUAGUUUAGGCAAAAUUCUUGGACUGUGUUAUUAGAUUUAAAAAUUAAAACAAAUAACCU